rnacentral:snoRNA from 1 species
GCGCUAUGAGGAAGAUCACACACACACUCCGACUUUCUCGUGAGGAGAUAAUUAAGAACGGAUAUCUGAGCGC